CCUACGGGUGGCAGCAGUAGGGAAUCUUCCACAAUGGGCGAAAGCCUGAUGGAGCAACGCCGCGUGGGUGAAGAAGGUCUUCGGAUCGUAAAACCCUGUUGUUAGAGAAGAAAGUGCGUGAGAGUAACUGUUCACGCUUCGACGGUAUCUAACCAGCAAGCCACGGCUAACUACGUGCCAGCAGCCGCGGUAAUACGUAGGUGGCAAGCGUUAUCCGGAUUGAUUGGGCGUAAAGGGAACGCAGGUGGUCUUUUAAGUCUGAUGUGAAAGCCUUCGGCUUAACCGGAGUAGUGCAUUGGAUACUGGGAGGCUGGAGUGCAGAAGAGGAGAGUGGAACUCCAGGUGUAGCGGUGAAAUGCGUAGAUAUAUGGAAGAACACCAGUGGCGAAAGCGGCUCUCUGGUCUGUAACUGACGCUGAGGUUCGAAAGCGUGGGUAGCAAACAGGAUUAGAUACCCUAGUAGUC
rnacentral:rRNA from 1 species